rnacentral:rRNA from 1 species
UACGUAGGGUGCGAGCGUUGUCCGGAAUUACUGGGCGUAAAGAGCUCGUAGGUGGUCUGUCGCGUUGUUCGUGAAAACUCACAGCUCAACUGUGGGCGUGCGGGCGAUACGGGCAGACUGGAGUACUGCAGGGGAGACUGGAAUUCCUGGUGUAGCGGUGGAAUGCGCAGAUAUCAGGAGGAACACCGGUGGCGAAGGCGGGUCUCUGGGCAGUAACUGACGCUGAGGAGCGAAAGCGUGGGGAGCGAACAGG